AAGGGAGUUUACUCCUGAGGUGGCGAGCGGCGGACGGGUGAGUAAUGCCUAGGGAUCUGCCCAGUCGAGGGGGAUAACAGUUGGAAACGACUGCUAAUACCGCAUACGCCCUACGGGGGAAAGAGGGGGACCUUCGGGCCUCUCGCGAUUGGAUGAACCUAGGUGGGAUUAGCUAGUUGGUGAGGUAAUGGCUCACCAAGGCGACGAUCCCUAGCUGUUCUGAGAGGAUGAUCAGCCACACUGGGACUGAGACACGGCCCAGACUCCUACGGGAGGCAGCAGUGGGGAAUAUUGCACAAUGGGGGAAACCCUGAUGCAGCCAUGCCGCGUGUGUGAAGAAGGCCUUCGGGUUGUAAAGCACUUUCAGUAGGGAGGAAAGGGUGUAGUUUAAUACGCUAUAUCUGUGACGUUACCUACAGAAGAAGGACCGGCUAACUCCGUGCCAGCAGCCGCGGUAAUACGGAGGGUCCGAGCGUUAAUCGGAAUUACUGGGCGUAAAGCGUGCGCAGGCGGUUUGUUAAGCGAGAUGUGAAAGCCCUGGGCUCAACCUAGGAAUAGCAUUUCGAACUG
rnacentral:rRNA from 1 species